AGAACGAACGCUGGCGGCAUGCCUAACACAUGCAAGUCGAACGAGACCUUCGGGUCUAGUGGCGGACGGGUGAGUAACGCGUGGGAACCUGCCCAUUAGUACGGAAUAACCGCGGGAAACUGCGGCUAAUACCGUAUACGCCCUUCGGGGAAAGAUUUAUCGCUAAUGGAUGGGCCCGCGUCGGAUUAGCUAGUUGGUGAGGUAACGGCUCACCAAGGCGACGAUCCGUAGCUGGUCUAAGAGGAUGAUCAGCCACACUGGGACUGAGAUACGGCCCAGACUCCUACGGGAGGCAGCAGUGGGGAAUAUUGGACAAUGGGCGAAAGCCUGAUCCAGCAACGCCGCGUGAGGGAUGACGGCCUUCGGGUUGUAAACCGUCUUUCAGCAGGGACGAAGCGAAAGUGACGGUACCUGCAGAAGAAGCACCGGCCAACUACGUGCCAGCAGCCGC
rnacentral:rRNA from 1 species